rnacentral:rRNA from 1 species
UACGGAGGGUGCGAGCGUUGUUCGGAAUUAUUGGGCGUAAAGCGCGUGUAGGCGGUCUGGUAAGUCUGAUGUGAAAGCCCUGGGCUCAACCCGGGAAGUGCAUUGGAUACUGCCAGACUUGAAUACGGGAGAGGGCAGUGGAAUUCCUGGUGUAGGAGUGAAAUCCGUAGAUAUCAGGAGGAACACCGGUGGCGAAGGCGGCUGCCUGGACCGAUAUUGACGCUGAGACGCGAAAGCGUGGGGAGCAAAC